GAUCUGGUAGCAGUUUCCCGAAGAAAUGUAUAUAUAUAUAUAUAUAUAUAUAUAUAUAUAUAUAUAUAUAUAUAUAUAUAUAUAUAUAUAUAUAUAUAUAUAUAUAUAUAUAUAUAUACAUUUCUUCGGGAAACUGCUACCAGAUC